GAAAUAGAGCCACUAAAAGUGCUCUAGCUUUUUAUGUAUCCAAGCAAAACUCAUGAUACUUUGAAAUAUCAUAAAGAAGAGGUUGUUCUUUAAUUUAAUUGUUACUAUGAGGAUAAGAAACGAAUUUAAGCGUGGAAUUUGGCCAUUGUCAUACAUCGAUUAAUUUCACCUCGGUCUUUGGCGAAUAGUGAUAAACAUAUAAAGUUAUAUAGCUUAUGUGUGGUUAGUCUGAUCGCCGUAAAAUAUGUUUUGAGUGAUAAGUUGGUGAUAUUUCAUGGUGUACAAAAAGAUUAAGGACGUGAAUGCCAUGAACAAUGAAGGAAAUAAAUCGAGUUCAUCGAACCUUCUGUGAAUCUGUGAUCAACUAAGUGAACUAACUAUUCAAACAGUGUAAUUCAACUUGGCAUAUUGGCCUACAAUCGUUUAAUAUAAAAUAAUAUUGCGAUAUGAAAGAAAUUGCUGGACCUACUUCUUCUUCAAAAAUGAAUUUUAGAGAUAAUAUAUUGACUUGAACCUAUUGAAAUCCUUUGGCUGUGACUUUACAAAUUUGGUAUCACAAGUGACAAGGCCUCCUAUGACAUUAUCAUGUCGUUCAUUGAUAUUGGAAAAAUAGUUUAAAGAUCAAUGCUUGGAUGAAUCAGGGAACUUCAUUUACAAAACAGACAAUAAAAGACCUGAUUUAUCUUAACGACAGUUUAAAUUAUAAAUCUGUCAGAUUCUAAUAUACACUCUAGUUUUUAAGAUACAUACAGUAUUAACAGUUUACUCUACAAUGAGGGGAAAAUAAUCUGAAUAUGAGAAUUUUCUCUGUUACUCAAGUUUAUGUUACAUUUAGCACCAAAUACAUUAUUGUUGCUAUCACCUUAGGGGCUGUUUACAUGAGCCCGGCUAGCCAUGCAGGCUGGCCCAGUUAACCAGGCUGAAGGCCUGGCUAGCCAGGAGGUUACCUAAGCUGGUGACUUUACAUGGAGAAAUUUCAGCCCGGUUAUCCGGGCAUCCUCUUUGACUCGAGUGAGAUCUCGGCUAGGCAGAUUCUUGUUAAAUGAUUUGAAUUAAGCUGGGUGCCUCAGUUAACAGGACUAGUCGGGCUCAUGUAAAUAGCCCCUUAGUUAUUAAGACUUGUUGGCAGAGUAAAAUAUAUCAGGCAAUAAAACUGGUUUCAACUUGCAACAAAUCGGAUGUUGGUGCAUGUAAGUUGUUAUUAAGACUUGUUGGCAGAGUAAAAUAUAUCAGGCAAUAAAAUUGGUUUCAACUUGCAACAAAUCGGAUGUUGGUGCAUGUAAGUUGUUAUUAAGACUUGUUGGCAGAGUAAAAUAUAUCAGGCAAUAAAAUUGGUUUCAACUUGCAACAAACCGGAUGUUGGUGCAUGUAAGUUGUAGUGUUGUUUUUACAAAGGGAACCAAGUAAAUGAAACUUUAACAUCUAGUGUAUUCCACUAUGUACAAGUUGUACAACCCCAAAAAUGUAAACAACACUUUGAUUUGAUUUGAUUUUAG